UACCAAAAUUACAAGGAAAAUCCGUUGACCG
rnacentral:piRNA from 1 species